CGGGACGGGUGAGUAAUGUCUGGGAAACUGCCUGAUGGAGGGGGGUAACUACUGGAAACGGUAGCUAAUACCGCAUAACGUCGCAAGACCAAAGAGGGGGACCUUCGGGCCUCUUGCCAUCGGAUGUGCCCAGAUGGGAUUAGCUAGUAGGUGGGGUAACGGCUCACCUAGGCGACGAUCCCUGGCUGGUCUGAGAGGAUGACCAGCCACACUGAACUGAGACACGGUCCAG
rnacentral:rRNA from 1 species